rnacentral:lncRNA from 1 species
UCUUUUUGUAUGUGUGUGUUAUAGAUGGAUCUGAGAACGCUGUCUGGGCUUGGUGCCAAGGGCUGGUAUUUCACAGCAGCGACCGCCUCACAGACGAGCUGUGGGAAGCAGGAGGGAGACUCUCUCUUAGGGUGCCACUACUAUGGAGACACAGCUGGGCUGAACAAGAUUUGCUUCAAACAACAACAAGAGAGACAGAAAGUAUCUGGUUCAACCGCUGCCUGAGCAGGCAGGCACCAGAAGAGCUAGCAGCCAAUCCGGCCAUGCUCGAAGCCAGCUCUGCAGCUCAGCCAAUCAGUGACAUCAUUGCUUUCUUUAGCUUGCCCACGGUGUUGUGAAGAUGAGAAGGAAUAGCAAGACCCAACCAGUUCUUCAUCUGAAGACAGCUCAAUGUUCUGCAAACCAGAUCUUCCUGAAUUUUAUUGGGAUAAUUUUCCAAAUAGAAUUCCAAGCAUUCUAUUCAAAUGAAGCAGGCAAAGUUGCCCAGUGCCAUAGUGUGGAUCUUAUAGGACAGCUCUGGGUAUGUAUUUCACUGAUACUCUGGUUUACUGUCAGGUUGACAGACCUAAUGGAGAUAUUCUGUACUGCCUUUAUC